UUUCCGUAGGUGAAUCUGCGGAAGGAUCAUUACUGAGUGAGGGCCCCUCGGGGUCCAACCUCCCACCCGUGUUUAACGAACCUUGUUGCUUCGGCGGGCCCGCCUCACGGCCGCCGGGGGGCAUCUGCCCCCGGGCCCGCGCCCGCCGAAGCCACCUGUGAACGCUGUCUGAAGUAUGCAGUCUGAGACAAUUAUUAAGUUAAUUAAAACUUUCAACAACGGAUCUCUUGGUUCCG
rnacentral:misc_RNA from 1 species